CUGAUUGGCGGCUGAGCUGUCUGUGCCCGCCCCCCACGCGGCUCGUUGCCGUGGUAACGGGAAGGCGGUUGCAGUUAAACGGGGAAGGCCGCGGUGGCGGCCCCGAGCAGCGGAGGGCUGAGGGGGAAUGCCGGGGAUUUUGGGAGGGUGAGGGCACCUCGUUCCAGGAAGGAAGGGAGGUGCUCAGAUCCGGUGCUUACCAGCACCUGGAGCCUGAAAUCUGGUGUUUGCUGCCACCGCCAGAUCCCAGAUCCAGAAAUUUCUCUGUUCCGGCACAGCCCAAGUCCAGCAAUUUGCUGGCACGGAAAGGCAAAAUCCGGCAAUUUCCCGGCCACCGCCCAGGUCUGGUAAUUUGCCGGUGCCAGGACUCCAGAUCCAGCAAAUUGCUGGCAGUUGCACCGCCCAGGUCUGGCACUUUCCAGCACCGGUACCGCCCAGAUGCGGCAAUUUCCUGCUGCUGGGGCACUCGGGGCUCUGGCUGAGCAGCAAAGCUUUAAGACACGCAACAUGGAGAAGCCAGAGCCCACUCUCAGCUUUCUGGAGUCUUCCAGAAGAAUCCUGUGUGGGAAGCAGCCUGGGAGCAGGGUUUAUGUGCCAGAGGAGGGUCUUUCUGCAGAGCCAUCCUACCUUCCAACAGAUCAACACAUGUCCCAAACUUGGUGUCAUCUCCAAACUCACUAAUGAAGGACUCAAUCCCCUCAUCCGUGGGAUCAGUGAAGGCAUUGGACAGAGCUGGCCCCAGUGCAGAGCCCUGAGGGCCAGCACUGGAAGGGAAAGCACCGCUGGAAAAAUGGGAGAAGGGAAUUUCCUUCACGGAGUUUGUUUGGAUUGAUGGGAUUUUCUGGAGCAUCCCAUUGCAGCCCUGCCAUGGAUGGAUGGGGACACUGGAAUUUUUUCAUCCCAGCCUAGAAAACAUUUUUAUGGGAAAGAAGGAGGAAUUCUUUUCUUCCUGGGAUAAUCUGGAGCACAAGAGGAGCUUCCUGGAAAAGCUUUCCCAUUCCAGGAGGAACCUGGAGGCUCCUGCUGCUCUGACCAUUCCCAGGAUGGAUCAUUGAUCCCAUUUCCACCUUCUUUUUUAUCCUAAAAUCCCACUUUUUUGUGGGAUUGACUCUGGAAUGGUCAGGCCGGGAUGAUCCUGGAUUGCUCCUGGAAUGGUUUGGAUUGGGAAGGGAUCUUAAAGCUCAUCCCAUUCCAACCCAACGCUUCCCAUCAUCCCAAUCCUCUUCCAACCUUUCCUAGGACACUCCCAGGGAUCCAGGGGCAGCCACAGCUUCUCUGGGAAUUCCCUCCCAGCCCAGAAUUCCUUCCCAAUAUCCCAUUUAUCCUCUGGCAGUUGGAAGCUUUUCCCUCUUUUCCCAUCAUUCCAUACCCUUGGGAAUAUUCCCUCUCCAUCUUUCCUGAAGAUUUCAAUCAUUCCCGCCCAGCUGAGGGGAUUUUCCUGGGAAAACCAUGAAAGGUGGUUUUAUCCCACUUUUUAAAUGCCGGGAAUUCUCCAUGCUUGGAAUGGAAAGAGGGAAAUCCAGGAGAGUGGGAACACCGGGAAUUCAAACCGAGGGAAAACCGGGAGUGGGAGCGAUUCCAGCAGGAGUGAGGUCAGCGGGAAUCCUCGGCAGGAAAACCCGGCUGGUUCCCAUGGAAACGCCCAGCCAGGAUUUCACACUCCACAAGUUUAAAGUUGGCAUUCCAUAAAAAAAAAAACGGGAAAAACCCAGGGAGGGAAUCCUGAGGGAACCCCUCCAGCACCUUUAUUUUUCCUUCAUGGAAUGCGUGGAUAAAUAGGAAUAUUUGGGAGUGGAGCACAAUUCCAGGGAGCUGCUCCCAGUUCAGACACUUCCAGGUGAUUUUCCAAGAUUCCAGAGGGUUUGGAAUAAUUUUGCCGUGGGAUAAUCAGUGGCACAAGGAGCUCGUUGGAAACUAAAGGAAUUUUAAGGGAUAAAUUAAAUAAAAUUAAGGAAAAAAGGGAAUAAGAGGAGCUUGGAAGUCAAGAAUCCAUAAAUUCCUGAUUUUCUUCUUGGGAAAAAUAUGGAAUUGCUGGAUUUGGGAGGAAAAAGGAAUUUUAAGCAAUUCCAGCCCCAAGGUGGGAAUUCGGGAAUUCCUGAGUGGAGCAGGGAUUCCCUUCCAGCAGCAAAGCCCAUGGAAGAGGGAAAAUGAAGGGAUGCAGCUGGAAAAUCCAAUUAAAAAGAAUAAAAAAGGCAAAAAUCCCAA